UGAAUAAACCAUGUCUAAUAUGUAUUCAAGCUGUGGACAAGAAUUGUACAAGCACGUGGAUUGGACCACACAUAUGCAACAAGAACCUGGAAACCUACAAGUAAUUAAAUACAAAAGGCAAAUUUUUAUCUAGGAGGAGGAGUAAAAGCUAGAAGCUGCAAUUUCCAUUUAUCUGUUAUUAUAGGACUACUAAAAACUAUAAUAUCUAGAAAUUUUCCUUUUAGUUGCAAAUUUGGUUCUUCCAUUUGAGAGCCAACCCAGAGAUUGCCUUUGUAGAUGAGCCUUCUUCGCUGAGAACCCUGUCAGCUGCGUCUUUAAGGUCCUUCAUUCUGUUGCGGACCUUCUUCCCUUCUUUGCCUUCCAUUAGGCCUCUCACUACUUUUGAAAUUUCGUGUCUUUCGAUUAGGCCAUUUUGAACAUUAGCUUUUGGUCUCAGGGCCACUUUAAUGUCCUCAGUUAACAUCACAGCGUUCAUUGUCUGUUCAGCGUAGAGUGGCCAGGCAAUUAGUGGCACUCCAUUCACCACACUUUCAAGGAUGGAAUUCCAUCCACAAUGGGUUAAGAACCCUCCUGUAGACCCGUGACUCAAUACUUGUGCCUGUGGUGCCCAUGACGGCACCAAUAGACCCCGCCCUUUGGUUCUAUCCAAGAACCCUUCUGGUAGGAAAUCACAAGGGUCUUUUUGGCUUUGCACACUGAAAAAAGUGGCAUUGGCGACGCUAUCAUUGGGGCUCCUCACAACCCACAAAAAUCUUUGCUGGCUCAUUUCUAGCCCCAAAGCCAAUUCGUUUAUCUGAUCGUAAGAUAGGGUCCCGCCGCUUCCAAAUGACACGUACAGAACAGAGCCAUGCGGUUGCUCAUCUAGCCACCUCAAACAAUCUGCUUCCUUUCCUUCACUACUUGAACCCAUGUUCACCAGCGGACCAACAGGGUAAACGGGUGGUUUACCGGCUUCUUCCUCUUGCAAAGCCUUUAUGGCCCCUCCUUCCAUGUCCACGAAGCUGUUAACCAUAACACCCUCAGCUAGUCUAUAUCGCUUUGUAUGGUGAAGAAGCCAUUUAUAAGCAUCAUUUUUCCUAUCUUGAACCGGGUCGAGCAAUUCCUUCCCGUGUAUCGGUAUGCAGCCAGGUAUUUUCAAGGGUUCUUGUAGUUCUCUAUACUCGCAAGGAACCAUCUCAUCUAGCUUUGGCAACCAAAAAAACAAAGACAAAGCCAUUGCUGUAGAAGGAAAGAAAAUGUAGGGAGAGAUGUUGAAUUCUCGAGCAACAUCGAACGCAUCGGUUCCAAAGAGAUCAACCACCAGGGCCGCUAGUCGACUACUUUCAACAAGAGACUUCAAAACUUGGCAAAGAGAAGGGAGAGAGCGUGCCACCGUAAGGGAAAUUAUCGUUUCUAUCUUUGUAUCUCCAGGGAGAUCACUCAUGUCAACCGGAGAAAGAAAUGUGGAGCUUAUGGUGGUAGGAAGCGAUUCAAGAACUGAUUUUUGGGCCUUAGAAGGAGGACCAUCAGUUGGGACAAUGAAGGUGAUGGAGAGAUUAUGUUGAUUAACGAGUCGCUUAGCUAAUUCAACAAGAGGGAUGAGGUGACCCAUCCCGGGACUGGGUAAAAUAGCUACAUGGGUGGGUUGUGUUUGAGGUUCUGCCAUUGAAUUGGAAAGAAGCUAAGGUUUUGUGGUUAAUUAUUCUCGAAUUGUUACAAUGGAAGGAGAAGACAGGGGUUGUUUAUAUAGAGGUUAGGAAUUUAUUUAAAAAAAAAAAAAAGAUAAUUAAAAAAAAACUGCUCUUACAAAAAAAUUGCGUAGUAUUUAAAUAGGCACUUACAUAUAAUGGAUAUCAUAAAUUAUAUCUUCCAUAUUUUAUAAAUAAACAUUACAUCUUCCUAGUCAAUCAAAGGAGAACAUUUUUCAUUGAGCCAAGUUUUGGGUAGCUCUCAAAUGCUUGGCUGAUUUGCAACCCUAGUAUUUCUAUUUCCUUGUUAGUUGCAUUUACAACAAUGGUUCUCUGAUUUAAUUGCGGUCCUUUACUUACUGUCUUCAAAGCGAUAUGAUGGAAAGAAGGUACCUUCAACUGACAGCAUGAGCCUUCCCAGAGAUUGAAUUCCUAAGGUAGUUUGAAUUUAUGAGUUCUAGCUGGUUCUUUAAAUUAUUCUUGCACCAGUUGCCUGAUCCUUAUCGGCAAUUUUAUGUUGCAGGUGGAAUGAACACUUUGGUUGUUGUAUUAGUUAUUUUGCUGACUAAUUUUGGUGCAAUGAGUGAUUAUUCUUGUUCCUCAGAUUCCCCAGAUUUUUACUUGGCAAACUUGCCUUGGUCCUAUAUGAAAUUUUUAGCUUUGAGAAAACAAAGUGGUCCCUAACGUUGUUCUUCUGGAGGAAUACUUCUAAUGGAGGGGCUGCAUUUCUUGAGCAAAAUUGUUAAUUUAAUGACCUGUAGUUUAUGGAGGGGAAUGUCAGCCAAGCAAUGCAAAAGGAUUAUGUUAGAUUCAGUUACAAAUUGUUCUUUCUUCAGUUGAAACUGCCAAUUUCUUAUUCUGUGAAAUAUGGUUUAACUGAUUAUAAAUGCCAUCGUCUGGAUUGUGCGUCUGUGAUGCAUCCAUAAUGUUUCUGUAUUAGAAUCAGAAUUGUUGUCUUCAAUAAUUUGAGUGAUUCGCAAGUAAAGUUUGUAUGAAUUUGAAAUCCAGUGAUCUUGUUUAUUUUUAUUAAGAGGAGCUUCUAAGAGGAUGAUCUGCGUGCACUUAUUGGUCAGUGGUCUUGCAGAUAUAGAACUCUUAACUCCUAAUAGAGAUUAUUGGAAAAUAUAAGUUGGGGAGAUCUUGG
rnacentral:misc_RNA from 1 species